UGUAUAAAACACGCGUUAUGCUGCUUGAUAUUGCAAACUGGUAUUUCUUAGCAUAUUAUUUUAAUGAACUGUCUUAAUUAUAAACACACUGAUUUUUAGUGCAAACAGUUUUACCGUUUACUGCACGUUGAUAUUCUUCUUGUUACUUUAUGGAGAGCAAUGAAUCGAAAGUCUCGCACAUUCACAUAAAAGAGCUUACUUCCGCUUUGAAAAAUAAGGUGGAUAGAUAAAUAUGGUAAUUAUUUAGUUGUUUGGUAUAUAUCAUAAUCUGGUAAGUUACCACCACUAAAAUAGAUGUUGGUCAGUUUUAUUAUUUAUUCAAAUGAAUAUACAAUCAAUACAAAUUUAAAAGUUGCUACCAUGUUCUCCAUAAAACCAAAAGUUCAUACAAUAUUGAUCCUACACCCUCGAUCACUCACCAGAAUGAUGAGGAUGAUGAGGAGGAAGAGACUGACAGCCGCCAGCGCUAAGAGGGCGACGCCCCAUCCAGGCACCAGAGCAGAGACUGUGGUAGGUGAAUAAUUCACUGGCGUGGUCUUCGAGGGCUGUGCUGUUGGAAAUGGAGUGGAGCUGAAUGUCGGGUUCACAACAGUGAUGUGGAUGGAGGUAAAAGUGGUCUUGAGGGCUGUAGUGGUGGUGUCACUGGGGGCUGUGGUGGUGGUGCCAUUUGGGGUGGCAGUGAUGGUGGCGUUCGGGACUGUAGUGAUGGUGUCAGUGGUGGUGAUGUUAUUGGAAGGUAAAGUGAUGGUACCAAUGGGUGCUGUUGUGGUGGUCCCAAUGGGGACUUCUGUUGUGGUCCCAUUGGUUACUUCAUUGGUGGUGCUGUUGGGUGCUGCAGAAAUACUUGCAUUAUUCAUUUGUGAGUUGGUUGUGGUGUUUAGGUGCAUUGUGGUGGCGUUAAAGGGUGUGGAGGUGGUGGAGUGGAUGAAGUGUGUGAUGUUUCCUACAACAGCAGAGGUGGACAUGUUGGGUGUGUGUGUGGAUGGAAGGCGGCUGGUGAGGGAUUCGGCAUCCGUUAUGAUGUCAGGAGUGGAAGUGAGGGGCGUGGAAAUGAAGGGCGUGGUCGUAAAAGGUGUUCCUAUGUGUGUUGUCAUUGGCGGUCUGCUGAAGGUCUUCUCUUCUUCAAAAGGUUCUUCAGAUGAUAGUUUAUCUGCGGGUGGGAGAGAAUGUAUACUUUUCAUUAGUUGUUGAUGUAUUUGUCAACACAAUCUCAUGGCAAUCCAUAUCUAUUUUACAUUUUGGCAAAUUGGUGGCUAAUUCAUAUGAAUGUGUACAGAUCUCAUCAUGCUUUCAGCUUAUGCCUUAGUGAUGGUUAUGUUCAGGGGUGGAGCUUCAUACUUACUUUUUCUAAAAAUCUAACAUUUUCGUAUGAUUCACCUUGUAUGGAUUCAUGCAAAACCGCCAUCUUGUAAAAUAUUUACAUUUUCCUGUGAGAUUUGGUUGUAUUUGUCUGAUUUAGAUGGUCAUUUCUUAACUUUUAAAGCUACAAGUAAAACCCCAGUCAAUGAACAAUGUGAAAACAAUGUGAAAUCAACCAUUGUUGACUGUUAUUUUACUUUCAGUGUAGCUGAGGUCGAUCUCUAGUGCCGGGGAUGGAAUUUGUUUGUACGCAGGCAAAAAGAUGUCUCUCACAAUCUCUGGAUCGACUUGGGUCGGCCCAAACAGCAGUCGAGAAGUGGCGAUCACAGACCCCUUACUGCAAAAGAAGCACUCAUAAGAUCAGAUAUUCUCUGUUGCUUGGUUAUAUUGGAUGUAAAUGUAAGAUUAUGAGUUGAUCAAACCUGAAGAUCAUUUCUUCUGUCCCCAAAUAUAUCAGAGGAAAGAAUGUCAUACAGGCUUGGAACAACAUGAGGCUGCUACUUACCCAUGAAAAGUGCAAUCCAACCAACAGCUAAGGUGGUGGAGGCUCUUAGUAUAAUCUUCAUCAUCUUUGAAGACGAGUAA